UGGCACCAGGGAGCGGUAAGCCCUGUGACAUACAGGUGGGGGUGGGUGACAGGGUGAUGUGGAAGAACAUGGCCUGAGCUCAGGUAGGGGGAAUGAGCUUGGAAAAGGUCUGACUAGAUGAGAGCCAAGGGAUGGGCAGGAAUGGGUCAGGCAAAGGGACAGGAGUGGAGGGGAGCAGUGAGGCAGGAGGUGGAGUGUCAUAUAUUGAAGAAACUAUGUGAAGUCCCCUCUGGCAGGUAGGUGCAUGUGGUGUGAGAACAGAGGGGGUGGGCAGGGGAGUGAGCCGGAUCAGGCAAUGGUACACAAAGGACUUUAUCUUGCGAGCAAUGAGGAACCACUGAUAGUUUUUCAGAAAGUGGGAAUAGCACAUUUUUUUGUUUGGAAGAAUCCUCCCUGAAUGCCUGAUGGGGGACUCGUGGAUGGUGGAAUGUGUUGGCUGCAGCCAUAACUAGGGCUGACUAGGGGUAGAUUUGACAUUCAGGGAAGCCCAGGGCCCCUUCUGCCACCCAUGUCAUUGCCAAUCCCUGUGCAGAUCCAGAUAGUGGGAUUUCAGAGCUGUUCCUGCUUAUAAAAUACUAUACCCCACUGCCCCGCCCUCUGUUGAACAUCUAACGUGUUAUUAGAGACUGGUUCCUGGGUCAGUUCUUUCUUUCCUGGUUAAAGGCAAACAUCGCUUAGAGAGUGACCUCAGUUGGCCAUCAUGGUGUGUUGACCUAAUUGGCCAAGAAGCCUGGUCUCCCUCCCUUCCCAUUUCCCAGCCUCAGUUACCCCAUCUACUCAACAGGCCAGAGGAGUCAGAGGAAAGCCUGCAGGGACUUGCCCCUCUGGGAUUCUGCUUCGGAUCAGAAGACCCAGUAAUCUGCAUGUCUGGAACUCACCUUGUAGGUUCCUGUGCCAGGUUUGUCCAGGACCUUGCGAACGGUCAUCUGUGUCCAAGAAGUUUAGGGGACCUGAGACUUGACACCUCUCACUGCCUUGUCUGCCAGGAGGUGCUCUCUGCCUCGGUUUGCCCAGCUGUAACUAGUGUUUUGGUGCCUUGGCCAGGCCUGUGCUUGGCUUCCGGCAGGCUCCACAGUGCUACCCUUUUCCUCUUUGGUUUGGGAGCUGGAAGGCUUUUUCGCUCAUGAGGCUGCUCUGGGCUGAGUGCGCUGGGCUGGGGUUCUGGGUGGGGCCGGCAUCAGACCCUUAGGGCCCAUGUUUUUGGGUGAUUCUUGGCAGGGAUUUGACCUCUUGGGUUCUUAGCUUUCUCUUUUCAGCCCGAUGGAAGGUCCUGUGUUCUGCAGUAGAGCUAGAGCCUAGGGCUGGAUGAACUCCAAGGCCCCCUCAAGCCCGUGAUGUUCACAAUGGCCUCUCGGAAAGCAGCCCUGAGACUCCAGCCUCCAGACUCAGUCGGAUGCCCCUUGGUCCUUGUGUUAUGAUCAACUCUAAUUCAAGCUGUGUUGACACUGACUUAAGUGAUUCUUUGAACUCAUCCGGAGUCCGUCAGUUCAAAGUCAGACAUCCAUCACCCACAUGCUGUCGUACAGAAGCCAAUAGUUGGAGGAUAUAAGGCUGCUUCGUACAACUUGUUGGGUGCCUUCCCUGCUUCGUUCUGGAGCUGCAUAGGGACAGCCUUUGUCCUUUCAGCAGUGGAAAUCAUGAGGAGAGGUGACUGCCAUGGCUGGAGUCUGGCCUGGAAUCCUCCAGAAAAUGGGUCCAAUAUGCCAUGCCCUGCAUAGUGUCUUACACACUCCAGAAUGGUCGAACCUCCAGCUAGCUUCCAGAGGGAACUUCCUACAGAAUGACAUAACCAGUUCCUGCUGCCUCCAGCAACACAGCCCGUCCCAUGUAUGGACUGACAGCCAAGGACACAGUGAGUUAGUUCCCACUAGACCAUCGGCUACGGAAGUUGGGGACCACCGUGUGACCCUACAGCAGCAUGGCACUGUCCCUGCUCUCGGAAGGAGCUCUGGGAAGGUUUGCUGAGUGAACCUCUGUGAGAAGGAAUAAACUCUAGGAUGUGCUGCUGCAAAGUGACUUGAAUUUUGAUUCCCAUUCGUUGGAGCUUGCCAAGGACGCGGCUUAAAUCACCUUGUCGUAAUGGGAGAAGAGGAGGAAGAGCAAUGAUUAAAUGUGCCUGAUAAAACUCUAUUUCAUGUUUGGAAUAAAAAAAGGGAAGGUUGAGAUAAAACGGUGCUUGUUCCAGAGCUGGCUUUUCCAGUUGGGGCCACGUCUCUAAUCCUUUCUGGAGGAGCUGGGGGAGGGGAAGGUGGCACCAAACUAGGUACUGUCACGAAGGGCAGGGUUGGGGGCAAAAGGGCAGAGGUUGGAGAAGCCAUUG